rnacentral:misc_RNA from 1 species
GAUGAAGAACGCAGCGAAAUGCGAUAAGUAGUGUGAAUUGCAGAAUUCAGUGAAUCAUCGAAUCUUUGAACGCACAUUGCGCCCCAUGGUAUUCCGUGGGGCAUGCCUGUUCGAGCGUCAUUUACCCCCUCAAGCUCCGCUUGGUGUUGGGUGACUGUCCGCCGCCUCCGGGCGCGUGGACUCGCCUCAAAAUUAUUGGCGGCCGGUACAUUGGCUUCGAGCGCAGCAGAAACGCGAACUCGGGCCCGUCGUAUUGGCUCCCAGAAGCUAUCUUCACAAUUUUGACCUCGGAUCAGGUAGGGAUACCCGCUGAACUUAAGCAUAUCAAUAAGCGGAGGAA